UGCAAUAGGCUGCUCGAUGGGAGAUUUUU
rnacentral:piRNA from 1 species